rnacentral:tmRNA from 1 species
GGGGAUGAUCGGUUUCGACGGUUUUUGCAGAAACUGAAUGAAGCGGGUCGAGAAUGCAGAGUUAUCUCGUUAACGUCCUCUGCAAACUAUAGGUGCCAAAUCAAACCGCACCGACUUCGCCCUAGCUGCAUAAGCUAGCCUCGAGGUCCGUCAGCCUAAAUCUGAUUU